rnacentral:lncRNA from 1 species
GGGCGAGCUCUGUGGUGACGGUGACAUGGUGGCUCCAGCAGAGGGCGGCGAGGAGGGCAAGGAGAGCAACAUGGUCACCGCAGAAGGGUUGAUGGACAACAGUAGCGCCAGCACCAUCAUGGGAUCAGUGCUAGGUGGUGGAGGAGGAGGAACGGGAGAGAAGUUGUUGGUGAUUGCAAGGGUCUUGGUGUGGUAAAGGAUGGGGCC